rnacentral:rRNA from 1 species
UACGUAGGGGGCAAGCGUUGUCCGGAUUUAUUGGGCGUAAAGAGCGUGUAGGCGGUUUGGUAGGUCCGUUGUGAAAACUCGAGGCUCAACCUCGAGACGCCGAUGGAAACCAUCAGACUAGAGUCCGGAAGAGGAGAGUGGAAUUCCUGGUGUAGCGGUGAAAUUCGUAGAUAUUGGGAAGAACACCGGUGGCGAAGGCGGCUCACUGGCUCAUUACUGACGCUCAGGCGCGAUAGCGUGGGGAUCAAACAAG